rnacentral:rRNA from 1 species
UACGUAGGCAGCGAGCGUUGUUCGGAGUUACUGGGCGUAAAGGGCGCGUAGGCGGCACUGUUAGUCAGGCGUGAAAGUCCUGGGCUCAACCUGGGAACUGCGCUUGAUACGGCAGAGCUAGAGGAUGGAAGAGGCUCGCGGAAUUCCCAGUGUAGAGGUGAAAUUCGUAGAUAUCAGGAGGAACACCGGCGGUGUAGACGGCUUGCUAGACCAUAACUGACGCUGAGGCACGAAAGCGUGGGUAGCAAACAGG